rnacentral:rRNA from 1 species
GUCCACGCCCUAAACGAUGUCAACUGGUUGUUGGACGGCUUGCUGUUCAGUAACGAAGCUAACGCGUGAAGUUGACCGCCUGGGGAGUACGGCCGCAAGGUUGAACUCAAAGGAAUUGACGGGGACCCGGCACAAGCGGUGGAUGAUGUGGUUUAAUUCGAUGCAACGCGAAAACCUUAACCUACCCUUGACAUGUCUGGAAUCCUGAAGAGAUUUAGGAGUGCUCGAAAGAGAACCAGAACACAGGUGCUGCAUGGCCGUCGU